GGGGUGUGGGGUUGUGGCGGGGGAGGAGAGGGGAGAGGAGUUUAGGAGUAAAAAGUAUUGUUACAUAAUUCUGUAGAAUAUUUUACCCAAUGAAUUUCCUUAAAAACGUAAUGUUUUUAUGGCAUAUUGCAUAUAAAUGCUCCUUUUAGGUGCCUCUAAGCAUCAAUAGUUCCUUUUCCAAAAACAAAUUCCCCAGAUAUUUGUAUCUCACCAUAAAGGAAUCGUUAUGAAAAUCUACACACAAUGUCAAAAUAAUCAGAACACAGUUUAAGUGGUUUGGUAAC
rnacentral:misc_RNA from 1 species